GGAUUCUCCAGUGCCAGGGGAAUGUGUGAGGGACUCAGCUCUGAACACGUAAGUACGUUAAACUUAAUUUAGGAUUUCUAAGCAACUACUCAAGCCUGUGCAUUGCUGCAAACGGGGGAAGGAGGAGAGUUUGGAACCAGGAAACCAUUCAUACUCUACCAUGCUAUACACAUGUCAAGCCGAGCGCUGCCUCACUACUAAUAGUCUCCCGUGAAAUGAUGGCUGCAUAAUCAAUAAAUCACUGUUCAUGCCAAUGACUAGUCAGGGGGAAAGAUCGGUUCCAAAAUAAGACGAAGAAACUGGUAGUUGAUAUUAGAGGCAAAGCCUAUUACUUGAAGGAUUUUUGUUUGCUUGGGUUUUUGUUUUUGUUGUUGCUGUUGUUGUUGUUUUGUUUUGUUUUUGAGACUAGAUUUUUCUAUGUAGCCCAGGCUCAUCUCAAUCUUUCAAUUCUUAAAAAAAACAUUUGCUUGUUUGUUUGUUUUAAUUUAUUUGAUGUGUGUGUGUGUGUGUGUGUGUGUGUGUGUGUGUGUGUGUGUGUGUGUGAGUGGCUGUAUCUUACCUCAUGAGUACAGGUGUCUUUGGAGACAGAAGAAGGCAUUGGUUCCCCUAGAGAUGCAGUUGCAGGUGACUGAUCAGCCUCAUCUGGGUGCUUGGAACUGAACCCAGGACCUCUGCCAGAACAGCAAGGACUCUUAACCACUGACUCGAAUGUCCUUGGUCUCUAUCUUAAAAUCCUCCUUUGUCAGCCUCCCAAGGGACAAUAAGUAUGUGCUCCCAUACCCAACUCAACUGUAUUUUUUAAGGCUUUAAAAUGUACCAGAUAUGGUUUAUAUCACAGUGGCAAUAUCAAUAUUACCUAUAAAAUUAAUUGUAAUAUUAGAAAUAGUUUUGGAAGAAAAGAAGC
rnacentral:lncRNA from 1 species